UACCAGCACCCCGAGUGGUCGGGACGUUUAUUGGGCCUAAAGCAUCCGUAGCCGGUUCUACAAGUCUUCCGUUAAAUCCACCUGCUUAACAGGUGGGCUGCGGAAGAUACUAUAGAGCUAGGAGGCGGGAGAGGCAAGCGGUACUCGAUGGGUAGGGGUAAAAUCCGUUGAUCCAUUGAAGACCACCAGUGGCGAAGGCGGCUUGCCAGAACGCGCUCGACGGUGAGGGAUGAAAGCUGGGGAGCAACCGG
rnacentral:rRNA from 1 species